rnacentral:tRNA from 1 species
GGGGGCGUAGCUCAGUUGGUAGAGCAAGAGACUCUUAAUCUCUGGGUCGAAGGUUCGAGCCCUUCCGCCCUCA